rnacentral:lncRNA from 1 species
UCUACGACAACCUGUGCCGCCGGUUCGUGAAGCUGAGCAAAGGCGUGGUGGUGUCCGUCAACUACCGUCGCGCCCCGGAGCACCGGUACCCGUGCGCCUACGACGACGGCUGGACGGCGCUCAAGUGGGCCAUGUCGCAGCCCUUCCUCCGCAGCGGCAGGGGCGGGGACGCCCGCCCCCGCGUCUUCCUGUCGGGCGACAGCUCCGGCGGCAACAUCGCCCACCACGUUGCCGUCCGCGCCGCCGACGCCGGGAUCAACAUCUGCGGCAACAUCCUGCUCAACGCCAUGUUCGGCGGCACGGAGCGCACCGAGUCGGAGCGGCGGCUGGACGGCAAGUACUUCGUCACGCUCCAGGACAGGGACUGGUACUGGAAGGCGUACCUGCCCGAGGACGCGGACCGGGACCACCCGGCGUGCAACCCGUUCGGGCCGAACGGGCGGCGGCUCAGGGGGCUACCCUUCACCAAGAGCCUCAUCAUCGUGUCGGGCCUGGACCUCACCUGCGAUCGGCAGCUGGCGUACGCCGAGGGCCUCCAGGAAGAUGGCCACCAUGCCAAGCUCGUGUACCGUGAGAAGGCCACCGUGGGUUUCUACCUGCUGCCCAACACGGACCACUACCACGAGGUGAUGGAGGAGAUCGCCGACUUC